UACGGAGGAUGCGAGCGUUAUCCGGAUUUAUUGGGUUUAAAGGGUGCGUAGGCGGCGAGUUAAGUCAGCGGUAAAGCCCGGGGCUCAACCCCGGCCCGCCGUUGAAACUGGCUGGCUUGAGUUGGGGAAAGGCAGGCGGAAUGCGCGGUGUAGCCGGUGAAAUGCAUAGAUAUCGCGCAGAACCCCCGAUUGCGAAGGCAGCCUGCCGGCCCCACACUGACGCUGAGGCACG
rnacentral:rRNA from 1 species